UCGCUCUGAAAAUAUGAUUAAUAUAUUUUCCAAUUUUUCCACAGAAUAAAAGAAACGUAGUCUUUGAAAAACGUCCCCAAAGUUUAUCCCUGAACGCAAAUCGAAACAACGCUCCUUUUGCCCCGAGUCAGGACUGUUGGAAACGACCGUUGCGCUGUCAGCAACGAUGACGAAGAAGAAGAUCAGGGGAAGACAAGAGGUAUACGGAGCCCAGACAGUGAUUCAAAAGAUGCUCGGUACUUUUGGGGUGUCUUGCAGCUGUUCCUCGCCCUCUACCUCCCCGACUUCGGCUAACGCUCGAUCAUCUUCUUUCUUAUCUGCGAGUCGUGCAGAAGCAUGAAAUUUCGUCAAUCUGAGUGCUCGAUCGUUGCGUAUACAUAGAAUCUCGAGCAUUUGGAGCAAAUGCAUCCUUUCGUAUCCUCUCGUGCAUUCGUGAUUCACCACGACCGAUCUCGAGGUACUUGUCUAGCUUUUCACAAUCUGGAAAUAUGGCCGAAAGGAAUAAAUGAAAAAAAUGAAGUGUGAAUAAUUUGAAAAGAGUUAUGAAAUAUAUUUUUAUCGCUUCCGAUUCAUCUCGCCUCCCUCUAAAGAAUCGUGGGAUUCCAUCCAAAAAAACAGCCGAUAUCUACAAUCUUCCCUUGCAAAGGUUACAUAAGAGUCGUCGAAGGAAGCGGAAAGGGAGGGAGGAAUAAGAACGAAGAAAUGGCCGCCGGAACGUCGUGGAGAGAUUUGGCAAAGGAUUCGACAAAGAUUCCCAGAGGAUCUGAGGAGGGCGCAAGGAGAACGACAGAUUGCUGGCUUCGAUCGGGACAGCAAUCGAACAUACAAAUUUUCUUCAAAUAACCAACACGCACAAUUGACAAAUUUCUUUCAACCCUUUCUCGCGUAUCGAUCACUCCCCUGGAAGGAAGGAUGUGGCAGACGAUAGAAUUACUAGAAGAAGCAAAAAAAAAAAAAAGGAGAAAAAUAGGGAUAAAAAAAACUUUAGAAAUCUCACGUCAUGGAAGAGGAGGAGGGUUGAACAACCCUACGGGAUCUUCUUUAUUAAGCUCUGGAGACUUAUUCUUGGUGCCAGACGGCAUGCUGUAAAAAAGGGGGAAGACGUCCUGGCAACCCUUUCCCCAGGAAGACGCCAGUCCUAGUUUAUGAUCUUUCCACUUUCGUUUUCCUGCUUCUAUAUCCGUACAUAGCACGGGAACGCUUCCAAAGUAUAGUAAGCGCGAUUCGAUCGAACUCUUGGAAUUGCUAAAUGGAUUGAAAUCAUUGACCUUGGUGGGCGAGGCUCCCCGAAGACAACGCCUUGAAGUCAGCGUUCUAUGCACGCGAAAUAAAAUCAAGUCGUGAAUUUUAAAUCUAUAUUUUUGAAAAGUGUUGCCCGAGUGAUUUAAAAAUCACGCAAAACACCUGCGUACUCUUCCGGUUGGAUAUCG